ACACACACACGGCAGGAAAAAUACCACAAUUAUGAAGGUGGUUUUCCAGUGUCUUGUCUAUUGGACUCUGAUGACCACUGCAAAUGAAGAAAACUAAACUGUAUAAUUUAUGGUAAUGAGAGUCUAC
rnacentral:snRNA from 1 species